rnacentral:rRNA from 1 species
UACGUAGGGGGCAAGCGUUGUCCGGAUUCACUGGGCGUAAAGCGCGUGUAGGCGGCGCGUCAAGUCGGGUGUGAAAGCCCGGGGCUCAACCCCGGGAUGCCGCUCGAAACUGGCGCGCUUGAGGACGGAAGAGGGGAGUGGAAUUCCUGGUGUAGCGGUGAAAUGCGUAGAGAUCAGGAGGAACACCCGUGGCGAAGGCGGGUUGCUGGGCUGACACUGACGCUGAUGCGCGAAAGCCAGGGGAGCGAACGGG